UAAUACCUGAUAUUAUGAUUUUAGGGCAUCCUAAGAUUAUGAAAGCUAUAUGUGCUGUGAGAGAGCUUUGCGUCCCAUUAGCUAGUUGGAGAGGUAACGGCUCACCAAGGCGAUGAUGGGUAGCCGGCCUGAGAGGGUGAACGGCCACAAGGGGACUGAGACACGGCCCUUACUCCUACGGGAGGCAGCAGUGGGGAAUAUUGGACAAUGGACCAAAAGUCUGAUCCAGCAAUUCUGUGUGCACGAUGACGUUUUUCGGAAUGUAAAGUGCUUUCAGUUGGGAAGAAAAAAAUGACGGUACCAACAGAAGAAGUGACGGCUAAAUACGUGCCAGCAGCCGCGGUAAUACGUAUGUCACAAGCGUUAUCCGGAUUUAUUGGGCGUAAAGCGCGUCUAGGUGGUUAUGUAAGUCUGAUGUGAAAAUGCAGGGCUCAACUCUGUAUUGCGUUGGAAACUGUAUGACUAGAGUACUGGAGAGGUAAGCGGAACUACAAGUGUAGAGGUGAAAUUCGUAGAUAUUUGUAGGAAUGCCGAUGGGGAAGCCAGCUUACUGGACAGAUACUGACGCUAAAGCGCGAAAGCGUGGGUAGCAAACAGGAUUAGAUACCCUGGUAGUCCACGCCGUAAACGAUGAUUACUAGGUGUUGGGGGUCGAACCUCAGCGCCCAAGCUAACGCGAUAAGUAAUCCCGCCUGGGGAGU
rnacentral:rRNA from 1 species